GACAGUCCUGCCUGCACUCACUAUGCUAGCAAAAAAUGUCUGGGAAGGACAGAAAAGAAUGUAACAUGCAAUUAAAGCAAGGGAGAGUGAUUAAUGUAGGCAAAAAUUAAUCGCAAGGGCAGUGUCAAAGUUUGGUGGGACAACUGAAUGUUCAGAAGGGACCUGAAAAAAGUAAUCCCAUGAUAAACAACAUGGUAAAAAGCUUAGAUUGUGCCCUCAAGUUUUCUUAAGAUUACAGAUAAAAUGACAACAGGCAAAUUAUUUUCUUUCCCAGGUGAAAUGAAGAACCAAGGAUCAUCUGAGCAAAGACUCAAGGACCAUUUGAACAAAGACAUCCACAUCUAUACCAUAGAUGACUUGGCAUCUAUGGAGGAGUGGAGGUGAGCACCACUCUACCAUGGACAGGAAGCAGCCACUGUAGAGGCUGGGCUUGCGGAGAUUCCUUCUGGAUGCCCUCAGACCUGUCAUUAAUGGGGACAAAGCAGAAUCAGGGGACUGCUAUAUCUCAUCUACGACUACCAGCUCCACCAUCCAGGGUACUGUUCUUGCCACUACAUCUAGAAAUAAGAGGAGUGCAAUCUUACAACUAGAAAAGGCUGUCUCGCUGAACAUUUAUUCUCAUUCCUCUACCCAAAACUAACGAAAAUCUGAAGUCUGAGUGGUGUCUGAACCUAAUAUUUUCAUGUCCGAGACACACAAGGUUGAGCUGCCACUUCUAGCCAUCUGAACCACCCAGUGAUAAGGCUGUUCUCUGAAGUUCCCUUAUCCACCUAGAAACCAGAUCCCCAAAGAGGAACACAAUGGCCUGCCAUUGCACCCCGCCAUCUCCCAGCUCAAGACUGAGGAAUGCAACCAUACCCAGACAGACUUCUCCACAAGAUAACUUCUGCCUCUGGAGCUUGUUCAAAUUCUAAAGAGCAUCAUUUACAAGUAAAUUUCUGUCUCAGGGAAAUAUUCAUUUUCCCUGAAAAUCAUUUACUCCUACACCCCCAAUACCUUCUCACCAAUUAAUAAAGUAUUUACGGAUCAA